GGAAUGCAGGCAGCAGUGUUUGGGAAUUAAUCACAUGGAACCAAAGUCAGACACGGAAACUCCCGAACACUGCUGAACUUUGAUGAAUGCCUGCUUCCUUCCCACACAUGUCAGGAGAGCGCUGUUCGGUAGGUUUGUUCGUAUGAACCAUAUGAACUAAUGCAACUAAGUAGCAAAAGCACAAAACACCCUGGAACUGUUUUGGGCAUAGGACCAAGUGUGCGUCCAGUUAGAACUUUACCCCGGUGGUGUUUCGGCAGUGUUCGUGGGAUCUGAGCACUUUUCGGUUAUGUUGCGCACUCAGAUCCAGGCUAUCUGGAGAUGUAUAAACCAUGGGGGUUACUAAGAGGGAAAUAUGUAAUUUUGUGUGCUUUUCAUAUUUUGUCAUUUAUUGCUGAGUCACGGAGACAUUGCAUUUUGGGGACAUUUUAUGGGUGUGUUAAUGGGAGUGUCAUGGGCGUGUUUACUGUGUCUCUGUAUUGUAUAAAAGUGGGCCAUUGUGCCUGAAUUAAACACAUUAGUUUCAACCCUUCAUCAAGUCUAGGCUGAUGUAUAGAGAAUUGGGAGCAAUAAUCACUGUUUCACUGGGGAUUUGGAAGAACUACUUAGCCAGAGUAUAGGGGAUCUGUUACAGUUAUAUAAGGUCAACACAUAUUAAAGUAUCAAACUGUUAAACUUUUGCCCUCUUUUUACAGGCCUACCUAAACAUCGGUUUCGGCACACCACAACCGAAUUACACCACCACUACUAUAACUCGGCUUAUUGUCCC